CUGGUGCAGCCCUGGGUCACCCGCCGCGUCCACGCCGAGACGCCCUCCAUCCUCAGGUUCCAGAGGAUGCAGCACAAGUUGCUAGACAAUUUCUUCUCUGUGCUGUCAUGCGUUGUCUCUGUCCCUUUCUACACAGGAUUCCUGCCCCUCCUCUUCUGGAGUGGAAACGGCAAGUUGGCUAGGCAGAUGACCCUCCUCAUGGCGUUCUCUGAUCAC